rnacentral:sRNA from 1 species
AAAUAGUGUUUCCUGUUAUCAUUGUUUACAUUUCGCUAAAGUGAGAUUUGUAGCUAUAAUGAUUACUUGCUUGAUAUUUGACAUGAUGGUAAUAUUUUCUUUAUCAAAUACUCAAAUACAGUUAGUGAUUAUGCAUUCUAGUCAUAUGUUUGUAUGUUGAGCGCUACGUUAGGAAGGUUGUGAAAUGGUGAUUAUAAGUAUCCUUGUCGGGUUGUUAUAAACACAUAAUAUGUUUAUGAUAGGGAACUAUAGACACCAGUAGGGUUGUGUCCUAUUUAGAAUGUAUUACAACGUUCACUAUUUGUGUGUAAGUAACUUGUGUAUUUAUAACAACACUAUCCAGUGAAUGAUAUAAUGAUCAUCUUGAGUGUUGAUCUGUACUUGCAGCAUAACUGCUGCUACCUUAUUACUAUAGUUACUAAAGGUGGGCAAUAUUUUGUAUAACUGAUUAAAUUAUUAAUAUGUAUCUUGGUGCACAUAAUGUGACAUCAAUGUAAGAUAUUUUUGAAAGUUACUUUGUUUAAUAGUGCAAUACAUAUAAUUAGAAUUUUCUUGUAAUUUUACAGGCUGCCUUCUGUUUUGCAAUAAAAGUUGUAAUCC